rnacentral:rRNA from 1 species
GACGUAGGGCGCGAGCGUUGUCCGGAUUUAUUGGGCGUAAAGAGCUCGUAGGCGGUUUGUCGCGUCUGCCGUGAAAGUCCGGGGCUCAACUCCGGAUCUGCGGUGGGUACGGGCAGACUAGAGUGAUGUAGGGGAGACUGGAAUUCCUGGUGUAGCGGUGAAAUGCGCAGAUAUCAGGAGGAACACCGAUGGCGAAGGCAGGUCUCUGGGCGAUCUCCUGACGCUGAGGCGCGAAAGCGUGGGGAGCAAACGGG